AAAACAUUAUGGAGGUAUGGGGAAUUGAACCCCAGCCCUCUCCCAUGCUAAGGGAGCGCUCUACCACUGAGCUAUACCCCCGCAUGU
rnacentral:tRNA from 1 species